rnacentral:rRNA from 1 species
GACAGAGGGUGCAAACGUUGUUCGGAAUUACUGGGCGUAAAGCGCGUGUAGGCGGCUCGGAAAGUCGGAUGUGAAAUCCCUCGGCUCAACCAAGGAAGUGCAUCCGAAACUGCUGAGCUUGAGUACGAAAGAGGAUCGCGGAAUUCCCGGUGUAGAGGUGAAAUUCGUAGAUAUCGGGAGGAACACCAGUGGCGAAGGCGGCGAUCUGGGUCGAUACUGACGCUGAGGUGCGAAAGCGUGGGGAGCAAACAGG